UGAAACGUGUGGUCAAACAGUUUGGUGUCAGUUUAAUCCUCCUGAUGUUGGACAUUCACACCGUGCCCAUGCUGGAGGUGUGACACCAUGAGCAUGGAACCUCCCCAAAGAAAUCCGGGUUUCAAGGAGCAUUGGCUGUGAGAGAAUAGUAUUGGUGAUCAUGUAUUGAAACUUGAUCAGAGCCUCGCAUCAAGUCUGGGAUGAAGUACAAUCAAACUGACACUGCCCUCUGGAUGACUUGCAGUGAGAGGUUUCUCCUGGGCUAAUUAUCCCGACGACUAAAAGAACAGCUGAGUGGAAUCAGAACGCGUUCACAGGGCCGUCACACCCAGCUCAGCCCUUUGGUUUACCUCGAUGAAUUUAGCAAACGAAACUCCUGUGAACCCGCAUAACGUGCGCCUGCUUACACGCAGCUGCGCUGCCCUGCGCUCCCAGACAGAACGCGGCGGUGCGACAAAGGCUUUUAGUGGAAAGUGUUGCUGAGCGAAGUUCCGUUUUCUGACGGGCGCACAGAGGCGCGAGGCGAGGCCGCCCUGCAGGAGGAGCGCCUUCGUUUCCGCGCACGAGAGAAGCGGCCGCUGCCGUCGAUGCCCGUCGGGGAGCAGCCAGCAGAAGAACACAUGGAACUACACUGCACAACAAACUGUUGUGACAUGAGGAUGGGCUGUCCCGACAUGAAGAUGGGCUGUCGUGACAUGAGGAUGGGCUGUCGUGACAUGAGGAUGCUGUCACAACACGCCAAGUUUCUGGGUGCAGGUGGGAGCUGUCCAGCAGGGCCUGGAGCUGCAGGGGCUCCCAGCUGCUGCUCUGCCUCACAUCCUGGGAGCCACCGACUCUGUUCUGCUGCACCAGGCAAACACCAGGGGUUGGUUUCAUCUCCUGUAAAAGCAAGAGAAACGGUGUGCAGUGAGUCCUCCCUUCUUUAUGAGCACACACACACACACACACGGUUUGUGGCCUCGGUGUUGGUGCCAAACAAGCUCAGCACAGCUGUGGCAGCCCUCCAUCCCUGCUGGAAAGGAAGCACCCACCUGCACAGGUCACUGUGGGAAACACAAAACUGA
rnacentral:lncRNA from 1 species